CAAGCAGGGUUGCUGUCACUCCGUUAGUCUGCUGCGAGUGACCUUCCAACGGGCUGCCUCCAUACGCCGUGGCAUUCGCUCAACUUCGAACGCAGGCUGCUGAGGUUUCUUGCCCCUUGCCAGCGCUUUCCGUGAUAACGACUGCCAAGGUGUGUCUGGAUGCCGGAAGAAGAUACAGUGUCCCAGCACCAGGCUGUGCAAAGCCAGCUCGACAAGCCACCCGGGAAUGCGAUCCUUUGCACCAACUGCGGAAGCCCCUGUAAAGGGGAGGUAUUGAGAGUGCAGAAUAAAUACUUCCAUAUCAAAUGUUUCACAUGCAAAGUAUGCGGCUGCGACCUUGCCCAGGGAGGAUUUUUUGUAAGACAAGGAGAUUACAUUUGUACUGUAGACUAUCAAAGGCUGUACGGCACCAGAUGCUUUAGCUGCGAUGAAUUCAUAGAGGGAGAAGUCGUUUCUGCUCUGGGAAAAACCUAUCACCCAAAAUGUUUUGUGUGUGCUGUUUGUAGAAACCCGUUUCCACCUGGUGACCGAGUGACGUUCAAUGGCAAGGAGUGCAUAUGCCAAAAAUGUUCGCUGUGUCCGACAGUUGGCAACACCAACUUCAGUAUCCAGUCUCUGAGAAACUGCGGGGGCUGCGGAUUAGAAAUAAAAAAUGGACAGUCGCUGGUAGCGCUGGAUAAACACUGGCAUUUGGGCUGCUUCAAAUGCAAAACGUGUGGCACGCUUUUAAAGGCAGAGUAUAUCAGCAAAGAUGGGAUUCCGUAUUGUGAGACGGAUUACCACGCCAAGUACGGCAUCAAGUGUGAUCAUUGUGAGAAGUUCAUCACGGGCAGAGUGUUGGAGGCUGGAGAGAAACAUUAUCACCCAACUUGUGCGCGGUGUGUCCGAUGCAAUCAGAUGUUUGCAGAAGGCGAGGAGAUGUAUCUUCAAGGUAAUUCAAUAUGGCAUCCUAUAUGUAGACAAGCCGCCAAGACAGAAGAAAGGAAUAAGGAAACAAGGACAUCUUCAGAAAGUAUAAUUUCGGUUCCUGCAUCAAGUACGUCUGGAUCCCCAAGCCGCGUUAUUUAUGCAAAGCUUGGGGAUGAAAUUCUUGACUACAAGGAUCUGGCGGCUCUCCCUAAAAACAAAGCCAUCUAUAAUAUUGACCGUCCUGAUAUGAUCUCCUACUCUCCAUAUAUCUGUUAUACUGCAGAUGACAGGCAUAGUUAUGGGGAGUCACCUCUGCUGUUUUCUCCAACACCUACCGAGGGAGACCAAGAUGACCGGUCGGUUAAGCAGUACCGGGCUUCCAGCCCAAGCUCAACUGGGUCAUUAGGCUAUGGACGUUGCACCCCGACUUCCCACUCUCCUCAGCACUACAGCAGACCAGCUGGUACUGAGCCUUUUGGUACCAGUAGCUGCUUCUUUCUAUCCCAACACACAAGUCCUACAUCUACAUUCAGGCAUCAUUACAUCCCGUUCUUCAAAGGCAGUGAAAGUGGGCGCAGCACCCCAAGUUUAUCCAUGUGCUCAGACAGCAAAUCGUCAUCUUCUGCUUAUCAGCAAGCGCCCAGACAUUUCCACGUCCCAGACACUGGACUUAAAGAUAACAUCUAUAGGAAACCCCCUAUCUUCAGACAGCAUGCAUCAAGAAGAUCUGAAGGAGAUGAUAUUAAUAUAGAUCCAGAUAGUAGGAAGGUGAAGACAAGUUGGGUCAUACUCAAAGGAGAGAUGGAUGCUCAGAGUAACUCCGACCUAGAUACACGAUCAUUGACACACAGCUCCGGCACCUAUAGAGACGGGUUAAAGGACACUCCGGGGGACGGAACGUACUCCAGGUUGCUGUACUCCAAAUCUGCGUCCCUGCCUGGCUAUGGUAAAAACGGUCUGAAUAGAGCUGCCAACUUUGGUCAAUUCACUUUGGAUGACGAUUCAAGCUGGGGAAUGAGAGAUUACAAGGUAAGAAGUUGGAGUCAAUCACAAAAAGAAUCCCCCAUUUUUCUCUCUGUUACAAGGUUAAAUCUGUCUCUUUCCUUGUAUUGAUCACACAAUGUUCUAAUUUAUAUGCGCCAAAAUGGUAUGUACGGUUUAACCAACUUGGUAAUAAUUUUAACAAGAGCCAGUCACAUUACUGAGAACUGCUUUGUAUUCUUUGGAAACAGAUUUAUCCGUAUGAAACAUUGAUUGUGACCAACCAAGUGCGAGUGAAGCUGCCAAAGGAUGUGGACAGAACCAGACUGGAGAUUGUGCGUGAUUUCUUAUCAUUCCAAGUCUUAAUCCUUCUCUGGGCAGUAGACGUUCAAUCGAAUUUCAAGAGAAAAUCUAUAAAGACGGAAGGCAAUCAGAUCACACUUAACUUUGACCUUGCAAUGUUCUUCUGCAUAUGAAGAGUUUGCCUUUAACAAGGUUUGCUUCUUGGGAUUCAGUCUUUCUUUUCUGUAUUAUCAAAUUUAAUCCUGGUGGCAUCUAAACUUUACAUAUCCAGAAAACUAAUAUGAAAUCCGUGCAAAUCUAGUGA